GAAUGGGUGUGUAGCAGAGUGUUUCGUGCUACGUGAGGCUCCGGAGUCCCCUUGUGUGGCCGCACAUUCUCCAUCCCUCCUUCCCUCCCUAUAAGUCGGGCUCCGUGUGUCAGAGCUCUGCCUCCUCUCCGCCAGCUCCACUCUCAGCCUCGCCAGUGAGGUCACGUCCACUGACGUCACCAGCCUUGCUCCCGCAAGCCUGUGCUACAUUUACAUACAUCAAGAAAAUUAGGGCAUUAAAAAAAUAUAUGCUAAUCCGGCUCACUAUUGGAUCCGGGUCCCCCAUCCUUUUCAUUUACAGAAAAUGUUGAUUUUUUUUAAUGGGGAAAAAAAAAGGUUCCUAAAAAAAGAAGAAGAGGGAGGAAAAUCCAAAGAUGAAACAAAACGCUGAGAUGCUAGGAGAGGAUUUUAAGUGGCUUUCGGUGCUGCUGAGGAGUACGGCUUGCAAGAGGACCAGGUUAUAGGGCUGGAUACAUCAAUGAAUAAUAACAUCGCCCUUGCGCCAUUUGCCUCUCCUGUUCCUGUUGGUUCCAGUCUGUAUUAUUUUUAAAUACUGAUGCAUAUGUAAAGUUCAAAUGGAGCAAAAUUGAAGAAAGAUUGGAAUUUGUUUGUACCAGACUACCCGGGCUUUCCGUUGUACCGGGCUCGGAAUGAUCAUUCGAUGACGUUAAUUAACGAAAUGCUAAUUAUCUAAAGCGAAAGAGGUAGGAGGAACGUGAGGUAUUCUCGCUCGCUGUUAACCAGUGACCUCUAGUGGCCAUAAUAGAAAAUGCACUUCUACCGUUCACUAUGCGCAUCUUUCCAUACAAUGCAUUGUAUUUGACUGACAGAUCACAGGUAGAUAGAUGCUUUGUAUCACUAAUCCGAGAAUACUAUAUCUAGAUAUUUUUCUUUCACGAAUUCAGCACCUAAAUAA